AGCGAACGCUGGCGGCAGGCCUAACACAUGCAAGUCGAAUGAACUCUUCGGAGUUAGUGGCGGACGGGUGAGUAACACGUGGGAACGUGCCUUUAGGUUCGAAAUAACUCAGGGAAACUUGUGCUAAUACCGAAUGUGCCCUUCGGGGGAAAGAUUUAUCGCCUUUAGAGCGGCCCGCGUCUGAUUAGCUAGUUGGUGAGGUAACGGCUCACCAAGGCGACGAUCAGUAGCUGGUCUGAGAGGAUGACCAGCCACACUGGGACUGAGACACGGCCCAGACUCCUACGGGAGGCAGCAGUGGGGAAUCUUGCGCAAUGGGCGAAAGCCUGACGCAGCCAUGCCGCGUGAAUGAUGAAGGUCUUAGGAUUGUAAAAUUCUUUCACCGGGGACGAUAAUGACGGUACCCGGAGAAGAAGCCCCGGCUAACUUCGUGCCAGCAGCCGCCGUAAGAC
rnacentral:rRNA from 1 species